AUUGCCCCAGUAACGGCGAGUGAAGCGGCAACAGCUCAAAUUUGAAAUCUGGUCCCCAGGGCCCGAGUUGUAAUUUGCAGAGGAUGCUUUUGGCGAGGCGCCUUCCGAGUUCCCUGGAACGGGACGCCAUAGAGGGUGAGAGCCCCGUCUGGUUGGAUGCCGAGCCUCUGUAAAGCUCCUUCGACGAGUCGAGUAGUUUGGGAAUGCUGCUCUAAAUGGGAGGUAUAUGUCUUCUAAAGCUAAAUACCGGCCAGAGACCGAUAGCGCACAAGUAGAGUGAUCGAAAGAUGAAAAGCACUUUGAAAAGAGGGUUAAAUAGUACGUGAAAUUGUUGAAAGGGAAGCGCUUAUGACCAGACUUGGGCCCGGUGAAUCAUCCAGCGUUCUCGCUGGUGCACUUUGCCGGGCUCAGGCCAGCAUCAGUUUGCCCCGGGGGAUAAAGGCUUUGGGAAUGUGGCUCCCUCGGGAGUGUUAUAGCCCAUUGCACAAUACCCUGGGGCGGACUGAGGUUCGCGCAUCUGCAAGGAUGCUGGCGUAAUGGUCAUCAGCGACCCGUCUUGAAACACGGACCAAGGAGUCGUCUUCGUAUGCGAGUGUUCGGGUGUCAAACCCCUACGCGUAAUGAAAGUGAACGCAGGUGAGAGCUUCGGCGCAUCAUCGACCGAUCCUGAUGUUCUCGGAUGGAUUUGAGUAAGAGCAUACGGGGCCGGACCCGAAAGAAGGUGAACUAUGCCUGUAUAGGGUGAAGCCAGAGGAAACUCUGGUGGAGGCUCGCAGCGGUUCUGACGUGCAAAUCGAUCGUCAAAUAUGGGCAUGGGGGCGAAAGACUAAUCGAACCUUCUAGUAGCUGG
rnacentral:rRNA from 1 species